CGGACGGGUGAGUAACGCGUGGACAACCUACCCGCACUGGGGGACAACAGCCGGAAACGGCUGCUAAUACCGCAUAUGCGCACGGCCCCGCAUGGGGCCGCGCGGAAAGCGCAUGCGGUGCGGGAUGGGUCCGCGUCUGAUUAGCUUGUUGGCGGGGUAACGGCCCACCAAGGCGACGAUCAGUAGCCGGCCUGAGAGGGUGGACGGCCACAUUGGGACUGAGACACGGCCCAGACUCCUACGGGAGGCAGCAG
rnacentral:rRNA from 1 species